rnacentral:rRNA from 1 species
GAUGAAAGCUGGCGGCGUGCCUAAUACAUGCAAGUCGAGCGAACAGACGAGGAGCUUGCUCCUUUGACGUUAGCGGCGGACGGGUGAGUAACACGUGGGUAACCUACCUAUAAGACUGGGAUAACUUCGGGAAACCGGAGCUAAUACCGGAUAAUAUUUCGAACCGCAUGGUUCGAUAGUGAAAGAUGGCUUUGCUAUCACUUAUAGAUGGACCUGCGCCGUAUUAGCUAGUUGGUAAGGUAACGGCUUACCAAGGCAACGAUACGUAGCCGACCUGAGAGGGUGAUCGGCCACACUGGAACUGAGACACGGUCCAGACUCCUACGGGAGGCAGCAGUAGGGAAUCUUCCGCAAUGGGCGAAAGCCUGACGGAGCAACGCCGCGUGAGUGAUGAAGGUCUUCGGAUCGUAAAACUCUGUUAUUAGGGAAGAACAAACGUGUAAGUAACUGUGCACGUCUUGACGGUACCUAAUCAGAAAGCCACGGCUAACUACGUG